rnacentral:rRNA from 1 species
CCUACGGGAGGCAGCAGUGGGGAAUAUUGCGCAAUGGGCGAAAGCCUGACGCAGCGACGCCGCGUGAGGGAUGAAGGUCUUCGGAUCGUAAACCUCUGUCAGCAGGGAAGAACGGUCACUGUGCUAAUCAGCAGUGAAUUGACGGUACCUGCAAAGGAAGCACCGGCUAACUCCGUGCCAGCAGCCGCGGUAAUACGGAGGGGGCGAGCGUUAAUCGGAAUUACUGGGCGUAAAGCGCUCGUAGGCGGUAUGUCAAGUCAAGUGUGAAAUCCCCGGGCUCAACGUGGGAACUGCCUUUGAAACGGGCAAACUGGAGUGUGUGAGAGGAUAGUGGAAUUCCAGGGGUAGGAGUGAAAGCCGUAGAUAUCUGGAGGAACAUCAGUGGCGAAGGCGACUAUCUGGCACAUAACUGACGCUGAGGAGCGAAAGCGUGGGUAGCAAACAGGAUUAGAUACCCUAGUAGUC